rnacentral:rRNA from 1 species
UAAUGACGGUACUUGAGGAGGAAGCCCCGGCUAACUACGUGCCAGCAGCCGCGGUACUACGUAGGGGGCUCGCGUUCUCCGGAUUUACUGGGCGUCAAGGGUGCGUAGCCGGUCUUUCACGGCAGGAGUGAAAGGCUACAGCUCAACCGUAGUAAGCUCUUGAAACUGGGAGACUUGAGUGCAGGCGAGGAGAGUGGAAUUCCUAGUGUAGCGGUGAAAUGCGUAGAUAUUAGGAGGAACACCAGUGGCGACGGCGGCCCUCUGGACUGUACCUGACGCUGAGGCCCGACAGCCACGGCACCACACCUGACUAGUUCCCCUGUUUGUUCCCGCUGUAAACGGUGCGCACCGGCGUUCGGGGGUUACCCUCUUGGGAUCCCGCGCUCACGCGUUAAGUACUCCGCACGGGAGGUCCGC